AGAAUCAACGCUGGCGGCGUGCCUAACACAUGCAAGUCGAACGCGAAAGCCCCGCAAGGGGCAAGUAGAGUGGCAAACGGGUGAGUAACACGUGGGUGACCUGCCUUCGAGUGGGGGAUAACGUCCCGAAAGGGACGCUAAUACCGCAUGACAUCCUGUCUUUGGACAGACGGAGAUCAAAGCUGGGGAUCGCAAGACCUGGCGCUUGAAGAGGGGCCCGCGCCUGAUUAGCUAGUUGGUGAGGUAACGGCUCACCAAGGCUACGAUCAGUA
rnacentral:rRNA from 1 species